CCUACGGGAGGCAGCAGUGGGGAAUAUUGCACAAUGGGGGGAACCCUGAUGCAGCCAUGCCGCGUGUGUGAAGAAGGCCUUCGGGUUGUAAAGCACUUUCAGUGGUGAGGAAAAGUUAGUAGUUAAUACCUGCUAACCGUGACGUUAACCACAGAAGAAGCACCGGCUAACUCCGUGCCAGCAGCCGCGGUAAUACGGAGGGUGCGAGCGUUAAUCGGAAUUACUGGGCGUAAAGCGCACGCAGGCGGUUUGUUAAGCUAGAUGUGAAAGCCCCGCGCUUAACGUGGGAUGGUCAUUUAGAACUGGCAGACUAGAGUCUUGGAGAGGGGAGUGGAAUUUCUGGUGUAGCGGUGAAAUGCGUAGAGAUCAGAAGGAACAUCAAUGGCGAAGGCAGCUCUCUGGCCAAAGACUGACGCUCAUGUGCGAAAGUGUGGGUAGCGAACAGGAUUAGAUACCCUGGUAGUCCACACCGUAAACGCUGUCUACUAGCUGUAUGUGUAUUUAAUACGUGUGUAGCGAAGCUAACGCGCUAAGUAGACCGCCUGGGGAGUACGGUCGCAAGAUUAAAACUCAAAUGAAUUGACGG
rnacentral:rRNA from 1 species